UAAAAGCAAGUGCUACUUGAUAUCUUUGUAAAUACUUAAAUUGUUUACUGCAGGAUGGACUGGGGUUUAGAGCUUAGAGUGGAAUCAACAUGGGGAAAACAGACUCAGCUGUAGGAAUGUUGAAAAAAAGAAUGGAGGCGGUAAUGGAGAUGGCAGCUGAAGGAUUCUAAAAAUUAUUGAAUGGAUCCUAGUGAGCUUUUGCAAUUUCAGUAUGACCCUGGCG
rnacentral:lncRNA from 1 species